rnacentral:rRNA from 1 species
GCACCCUCGUUCUUAGUUGCCAUCAUUCAGUUGGGCACUCUAGGGAGACUGCCGGUGAUAAACCGGAGGAAGGUGGGGAUGACGUCAAGUCAUCAUGCCCCUUACGUCCUGGGCUACACACGUACUACAAUGGGUGGGACAAAGGGCAGCGAACUCGCAAGAGCCAGCUAAUCCCAUAAACCCAUCCUCAGUUCAGAUUGCUCUCUGCAACUCCAGAGCAUGAAGGAGGAAUCGCUAGUAAUCGCAGGUCAACAUACUGCGGUGAAUACGUUCCCGGGCCUUGUAA